CAGAUGGAAAGAUGCAGGAUGUCUUCAACCCACAGAGCAAGGACAUUAAGAAUCCUCCCUCUUCCCAUCCCAGUCUAUUCCAGAAACACUCCAAACAGAGGUUCCAGAAGCAUCUCCCAUAGAAGGGAAUCACUGCCUGAAGUAGCACAGCUCCUCCCAGACCCAGACAUACCCACCUUAGGCUGUGCUCGCCGAGGAAAGGCCACCUUGGGAUCAAUCUGAAAGAGAACGGAGAGAUGCCUGUCUACGGGAGGCAUGGAAUCCAGACUUUGGAAGCCUUGUGGAUGGAAAUACUCUGCUUCAAGGGUUUCAGUUACCCCCGGUCAAACAUGGGUCUGGAAGCAGACAAUCCUCCUUCUGACCAUCCUCAGAAGGUCAGUAGUAGCCUAACACUAGGUCACAAUGCCUACAUCAUGCACCUCACUUCAUCUGAUCACCUAGGCAUUUGAUCAUCUCCCAUCAUCACAAGAAGAAGGGUGAGUUUUGCUUUGUUUUUGUUUUUAAAGUAUUCUUUAUUUUUUUUUUUUUUUAAAGAUUUAUUUAUUUAUUUGAC